UGCAAGGAUGGCCCUCGUGCAAAGGGGCGGCCCUCGUGCAAGGAUGGUCCUCGUGCAAGGAUGGACCUCGUGCAAGGACGGACCUCGUGCAAGGGCGGCCCGCGUGUGAAGAGCACCCUCGUGCAAGCGGUGUCCUUGUGCAAGGGGGCUGCGUGUGCAGGGGGGGCUGCACAGCACACAGAAGCGUGCGGAGGACGUUGUCGUGCAAGGCCCGUCCUCGUGCAACGGCGACCCUCGUGCAAAGACCCCCCCUCGUGCAAAGACCCCCCCUCGUGCAAGGGCCCCCCUCGCACGCCGCGAAGCCUGAAGCCCCCCCUCGUGCACCGGCGCCCUCGUGCAGAGCUCACCCUCGCGUGCAACCCCCCCACCUCCUCCUCGUGCAAGGACCCCCCCCCCAAUGCACACUCACCCCCCCCCCCCCCGCCGUGGCCCUCCCCCUCUGUUUGCACUUUCGUGGCCGCGUUUGCUACUGACUGCCCCCCCCCACCCCCCAAAGUUUGCCCCCCCCCCCACCCCGCCCCCCCACCGCACUUUAGGGGGGACCCUACAAAAAUAGACCCCCCCCCCAAAAAAGAAAGA
rnacentral:lncRNA from 1 species